CCUACGGGAGGCAGCAGUCGGGAAUUUUGGGCAAUGGGCGAAAGCCUGACCCAGCAACGCCGCGUGAAGGAUGAAAUCCUUCGGGAUGUAAACUUCGCAAGAACAGGAAGAAUAAGUGAGAGUUAAUAUCUCUUACGAUGACGGUACUGUUUGUAAGCUCCGGCUAACUCCGUGCCAGCAGCCGCGGUAAUACGGGGGGAGCAAGCGUUGUUCGGAUUUACUGGGCGUAAAGGGCGCGUAGGCGGCCACCGCAAGUCGACUGUGAAAUCUCCGGGCUUAACCCGGAAAGGUCAGCCGAUACUGCGGGGCUAGAGUGCAGAAGGGGCAACUGGAAUUCUCGGUGUAGCGGUGAAAUGCGUAGAUAUCGAGAGGAACACCUGCGGCGAAGGCGGGUUGCUGGGCUGACACUGACGCUGAUGCGCGAAAGCUAGGGGAGCGAACGGGAUUAGAUACCCCGGUAGUCCUAGCCUUAAACGAUGAAUGCUUGGUGUCUGGGGUUUUAUAGUCCCCGGGUGCCGUCGCUAACGCUUUAAGCAUUCCGCCUGGGGAGUACGGUCGCAAGACUGAAACUCAAAGGAAUUGACGGGGACCCGCACAAGCGGUGGAGCAUGUGGUUUAAUUCGACGCAACGCGAAGAACCUUACCUGGGCUAGAAUGCCUCUGACCGGCGUAGAGAUACGCCUUCCUGGGUAAAACCAGGCAGAGUGCAAGGUGCUGCAUGGCUGUCGUCAGCUCGUGUCGUGAGAUGUUGGGUUAAGUCCCGCAACGAGCGCAACCCUUAUCAAUAGUUGCCAGCGGUUCGGCCGGGCACUCUAUUGAGACUGCUGUUGACAAAACGGACGAAGUUUGGAUGACCUCCCUUCCCUUGGCCCUCUGUCCUCCGCUUCCUUUCCUUCUAUGUCACUUUACCCGCCGCACCUAUCUUCGUACCUAUCGAAAAGUUUUUUAUCCAUUGGAUUCG
rnacentral:rRNA from 1 species